rnacentral:rRNA from 1 species
UAUAAAUGUAAUUUAAAAUAUUAAUUGAUUAAUAGUUAUGGUCUUUAAAGAAAAAUAAUUUGGCGGUAUUUUAGUCUUUUCAGAGGAACCUGUUCUGUAAAUGAUAAUCCACGUUUAAAUUAUCUUAUAUUAGAAAUUUAUAUAUCGUCGUUAUUAAAUAUUUUUUUAGAAUUUAAUAUUUAUAAAAUAUAAUUUUAUUUUAAUUCAGAUCAUGGUAUAGUUUAUAUAUAAGUAGUAAUGGGUUACAUUAUUAAAAAAUUUGGAUUUUUAAUUUAAAAUUUUAAUAAAAUUGGAUUUGAAAGUAAUUAUUUUUUAAAAAUAAUGAUUUAGCUCUAAAAUAUGU